CUAAGUGGCGGACGGGUGAGUAAUGUAUAGUUAAUCUGCCCUUUAGAGGGGGAUAACAGUUGGAAACGACUGCUAAUACCCCAUACUCCUUUUACAUUAAUUGUAAUUGGGAAACGUUUUUUCGCUAAAAGAUGAGGCUAUAUGGUAUCAGGUAGUUGGUGGGGUAAGAGCCCACCAAGCCAAUGACGCCUAGCUGGUCUGAGAGGAUGAUCAGCCACACUGGAACUGAGACACGGUCCAG
rnacentral:rRNA from 1 species